GAAGAAGUUUACACACACUUGCCUUUCUCAACUUGCCUAAUGGGAGUUUUCCAUACUGCAUGAUCUUGGUCCCUGUAUCUGUCCAGGUCAUUUUUGGAGGUCAUUUUGUACAACAGCAUCUGCUAUCUUUCAUGGCUGACUGCUGUAGCUGAGCUGUUGACAUUGACACUUUACACCCUCAUUCAGUUCUCCUCCACCCUCUGUACAUGUACCAAUUACCUGAUUCUGUUUCUUUGUAACAUAUCACUAAUGCAGUCAUGUCUUGUUCUACUUCCUAAUGCCUUAAGUCCAGUUACCCUCCCACCGGAGCAAUCACUCAAAGUAACAUGCUUUCAUAUAGCUUUCCUCAUCUUAGUGUGUUACAGCCUAUGUAAGCUCCUCCUUCAAUGUUUAUAUUCUAAUACAAAAAAAAAAAAAAAAAAACACUAAACUUUGUGCACAAACCACAAUAAGGCCAGUCAAUAUCUCAAAGACCCACAUCUUCCUAAUCUUCACAAGGCCAAGAUAGAAAAUGUUAAAUCUUAUGAAAGACUAUAGACUGAGAGAAGAUCUGAUAAGAUGUUUGAGUGCCAUAAGGGAUGUGGUGAGGAAUACUUAUAUGUAGACCUUAGUGAUCUUAGUAAUACAGGAAGUUAAGGCUUCAACCUUGAAGUUAAAUUUAAAAAGGAGAUAGGAAGAAAUUGUCAUACAUCAGGGUGGCAGACGACCGGAAUAGGCAGAAUAAUCUUUGUAAAUCAAGUGACUAUUGAGAGCUUUAAAAGAUUACAGAGAUAUAUGGAUAGGGAUGAUAGAUAAACAUAGGUCUCAUUAAGUGACUCCCACAUAUAGAUUGUCUUCCAGCUUUUCCUGUCCACAUGUUCUCAGAUAAUUGUAUAAAUACUUGCUAAGAACUGCACUCCAACUCAAUUACAUUCUGAAACAGAAUACAUGAUGAAACUUACAAUUAAAGGGACAUUUAAAAGCCCUCAUUAUCACAGCCAUUCAUACGGAGGAUAAACUAUUUACUUAUCUAUUUAUCUUUGCCUGUGCACAUGGGAAGACUAGGAUAGGGCAAAACAGAAACAAAAAUCAAAGCAGUGAAAAAAAAAAAAAAUGCUAUACUCCCGGAAACUUGAGAAUGUUCAAACUUCGCGGGUGAGUGAGCCAAGCGCAGGUGGUUGUGAGUGAACGCGCACUAACCAACAAAAAUCGAUAUAAUAGCCCUUCAUUCCAACACCUCAUGAGACCACCCUUAACACACAGGACACGGAGAAAUAACCAAACAACCAUGGGGAACCUAGCCAUGUAGACCAAUAGUUAGGGAUGAGGAGGGAAGGAGGGAUGAGUUAGCGAGACAGGAGGAGGGGAAGAGAGGCGAGAGAGAAGAGCCAAGGCCAGAGAGAGGAGGCAAGGUGCGCACGGCGGCCAUGUUUGUUGUGAUGUGUUGAGGCGGGGAGUGCGUGUUUGCCAGGUCCAGUCCAGAGGCCACCCAUUUUCUUCAUAGGGACCAAAACAAGGGGCUGCAGGAGGAGAGGAAGGAACUGACUGGGCGAGGACUGGGAGAGAGACAUGCUGGCUUGGUACUCGGGUAGAAGGUGUGCUGCGGGUGACAAGGUGAGUGAGUAUAGAUAGGUUGGAGUAUUAGCCAUAGCAUAGGAGUGGGAGAUCAUUGUAAGAAAACGGUGAUGAAGGAAUGAUGGGUGUGUGUUAGCUACAGCAGUGACGAGAGGCGCUUGUUAUUAUUAAAUUUUGCUUGCUUUUGUUACGUUUUCUUUCACCCAGUUAUCUAGUAAAGUAAAUGUUCUGUUCUCCUUUAUAUGCUCUAGCGUGAUUUAUAUUCUUUGUGGUCAAUAAAAUCUGUCUGUCUAUCUUGAUGAAGAGGAAGAAGGCGACGAAGUAAUGCAGCACUCGAUGAAGAAACGAUGGGUAUUUUGGUCUCAGAUGACAUUGAUGCUGAUGCUGCGGAUGCCGUAAAGGAAGCAGCCAUACCAACUUCAGAUACAUAACAAAUAUAGACACUCGUGGCUCUUAGUGGGGACGCUGCGUGGUAUUUCUGGCGAGGGGGCGAGCACUGCACUGGAUGAGAGAGAGAGAGAGAGAGAGAGAGAGAGAGAGAGAGAGAGAGAGAGAGAGAGAGAGAGAGAGAGAGAGAGAGACUUGCCCCCUAUUCCUUAUUCCCCCAUCAUUUAUUCUCCUUCUUUCCCUUAAUUUUCAUGUGUGCGUCAGUGCCUGAAACCCUCUGGCACCCCCGCCCCCUUGCACGCUGCCUCGCUUCCUCCUUGCCUAAUUAACACCUUGAUUAGUGGGUCUAUUGGGAGGGCGAA